GACGAACGCUGGCGGCGUGCCUAAUACAUGCAAGUCGUGCGGACCUUUUAAAAGCUUGCUUUUAAAAGGUUAGCGGCGGACGGGUGAGUAACACGUGGGCAACCUGCCUGUAAGACUGGGAUAACGCCGGGAAACCGGGGCUAAUACCGGAUCGUUUCUCCUCCCCAUGGGGGGAAAAGAAAAGUCGGCUUCGGCUGCCACUUACAGAUGGUCCCGCGGCGCAUUAGCGAGUUGGCGGGGUAAAGGCCCACCAAGGCAAGGAUGCGUAGCCGACCGGCGAGGGUGAUCGGCCACAUUGGGACGGAGACACGGCCCAAACGCCUACGGGAGGCAGCAGUAGGGAAUCUUGCGCAAGGGACGAGAGUCUGACGGAGCAACGCCGCGUGAGGGAAGAAGGCCGUCGGGUCGUAAAACUCUGUUGCCGGGGAAGAACAAGUGCCGUCCGAACAGGGCGGCGCCUUGACGGUACCCGGCCAGAAAGCCACGGCUAACUACGUG
rnacentral:rRNA from 1 species